CUCCGCGUAAAUAGCACUCCGCUCUCCGUGGUGCACUGGUGGCGUGUGUGGACACCUGGUCAGCUGUAGCAAAUUACAGCUGCGGUUGGGAACCUCGCGCUGCUCUGUGGUGUCUCCGCUGUGCGUAAAGGCCGCCGUUUGCGUGGUCUUGUGGCAUUUGAUGUUCGGGUAAGUGGCAUGUCUCUCUCUUUGACCCAUUGGGCUGUACCCAGCCAGUCUAAUGCUCUCUC